GUGCCGGAUUUACUGGGUGUAAAGGGUGCGUAGGCGGCUUUGCAAGUCAGAUGUGAAAUCUAUGGGCUCAACCCAUAGCCUGCAUUUGAAACUGCAGAGCUUGAGUGAAGUAGAGGCAGGCGGAAUUCCCCGUGUAGCGGUGAAAUGCGUAGAGAUGGGGAGGAACACCAGUGGCGAAGGCGGCCUGCUGGGCUUUAACUGACGCUGAGGCACGAAAGCGUGGGUAGCAAACAGGAUUAGAUACCCUGGUAGUCCACGCUGUAAACGAUGAUUACUAGGUGUGGGGGGUCUGACCCCUUCCGUGCCGGAGUUAACACAAUAAGUAAUCCACCUGGGGAGUACGGCCGCAAGGUUGAAACUCAAAGGAAUUGACGGGGGCCCGCACAAGCAGUGG
rnacentral:rRNA from 1 species